rnacentral:rRNA from 1 species
GACGAACGCUGGCGGCGUGCCUAAUACAUGCAAGUAGAACGCUGAAGAGAGGAGCUUGCUCUUCUUGGAUGAGUUGCGAACGGGUGAGUAACGCGUAGGUAACCUGCCUUGUAGCGGGGGAUAACUAUUGGAAACGAUAGCUAAUACCGCAUAACAAUGGAUGACACAUGUCAUUUAUUUGAAAGGGGCAAUUGCUCCACUACAAGAUGGACCUGCGUUGUAUUAGCUAGUAGGUGAGGUAAUGGCUCACCUAGGCGACGAUACAUAGCCGACCUGAGAGGGGGAUCGGCCACACUGGGACUGAGACACGGCCCAGACUCCUACGGGAGGCAGCAGUAGGGAAUCUUCGGCAAUGGGGGCAACCCUGACCGAGCAACGCCGCGGGAGUGAAGAAGGGUUUCGGAUCGGAAAGAUCUGUUGUAAGUGAAGAACGGGUGUGAGAGUGGAAAGUUCACACUGUGACGGUAGCUUACCAGAAAGAGACGGCUAACUACGUG